CUGACGAGUGGCGGACGGGUGAGUAAUGUCUGGGAAACUGCCUGAUGGAGGGGGAUAACUACUGGAAACGGUAGCUAAUACCGCAUAACGUCGCAAGACCAAAGAGGGGGACCUUCGGGCCUCUUGCCAUCGGAUGUGCCCAGAUGGGAUUAGCUAGUAGGUGGGGUAACGGCUCACCUAGGCGACGAUCCCUAGCUGGUCUGAGAGGAUGACCAGCCACACUGGAACUGAGACACGGUCCAGACUCCUACGGGAGGCAGCAGUGGGGAAUAUUGCACAAUGGGCGCAAGCCUGAUGCAGCCAUGCCGCGUGUAUGAAGAAGGCCUUCGGGUUGUAAAGUACUUUCAGCGGGGAGGAAGGGAGUAAAGUUAAUACCUUUGCUCAUUGACGUUACCCGCAGAAGAAGCACCGGCUAACUCCGUGCCAGCAGCCGCGGUAAUACGGAGGGUGCAAGCGUUAAUCGGAAUUACUGGGCGUAAAGCGCACGCAGGCGGUUUGUUAAGUCAGAUGUGAAAUCCCCGGGCUCAACCUGGGAACUGCAUCUGAUACUGGCAAGCUUGAGUCUCGUAGAGGGGGGUAGAAUUCCAGGUGUAGCGGUGAAAUGCGUAGAGAUCUGGAGGAAUACCGGUGGCGAAGGCGGCCCCCUGGACGAAGACUGACGCUCAGGUGCGAAAGCGU
rnacentral:rRNA from 1 species